UAAAGAAGGAAGUGUCUUCGUCAAUUUCAGAUUCAGAAACCCUAGUUUUCUCCCCACUUCAAACAAUUCUUUUUCCUCUCGUCGUCUCAUAGAGUCAGAGCUGCUCAGAAUCUUUCGGUUCUUAUCUCGCGAGGUUAUAUAAGAAGAUGUCACGUGUGUACGUUGGAAACUUGGACCCGCGAGUUACUGAGCGUGAACUCGAGGAUGAGUUCCGUGUCUAUGGAGUUAUCAGGAGUGUUUGGGUUGCUCGUAGACCACCUGGUUACGCUUUUCUUGAUUUCGAAGAUCCUAGGGAUGCCCGUGAUGCCAUCCGUGGUGUAGAUGGCAAGAAUGGCUGGAGGGUUGAACAGUCUCACAACCGAGGUGAACGCGGAGGUGGUGGCCGUGGUGGUGACCGUGGAGGUGACCGUGGUGGUCGCGGUGGUUCUGAUUUGAAGUGCUAUGAGUGUGGUGAGCCUGGUCACUUUGCUCGUGAAUGCCGUAACCGUGGUGGUGGUGGCGGCACUGGGAGGCGUCGCAGCAGGAGCCGUAGUCGCAGUCCAAGAUACAGAAGGAGCCCAAGCUAUGGACGGAGGAGUUACAGCCCUCGUGCAAGAUCUCCCCCUCCUCCAAGGCGCCGCAGUCCUUCCCCACCUCCUCCUCGUGGUCGCAGCUACAGUAGAUCACCACCUCCAUACAGAGCACGUGAGGAAGUGCCAUAUGCUAAUGGAAAUGGACUGAAAGAUAGACGCAGAAGCAGGAGCUGAGUUGUUUUGCUGGAUAACGAGUUUGUGGGAUGAUCGAGAAGUACUACUUGCUUUGGAAGGGAAGAUGAGAGAGCCUAAGAGAAAUUGAUAUCAUCUAUGAAUUUCAGUUUCUUCUGGUCUACUACUACUACUACUACUACUACUGCUUCAUUGCUUAUCUGCUUGCUUCUCUACUCUUCUGCUAUGAAGCAUCUUCAUUUAGUUGCUCAGCCUGCUAUGAAGCAUCUUCAUUGCUUAUCUGUUUGCUUCUCUACUCUUCUGCUAUGACGCAUCUUCAUUUAGUUGCUCAACCUGCUAUGAAGCAUCUUCAUUGCUUAUCUGUUUGCUUCUCUACUCUUCUGCUAUGACGCAUCUUCAUUUAGUUGCAAGGCUUGCGAUGAAGCAUCAUCAUUUGCUUCUAUAUCUUUCUGAAAUGAAACAUCGUCAUUUAGUUGCAUGGCCUGCUAUGGGAAAAGCUGAACCACGAUUGUGGAUCCCUACAUGGCUUGGUUCAUCAUCAUC